AUUGAACGCUGGCGGCAGGCCUAACACAUGCAAGUCGAGCGGAAGCAGGGAGCUUGCUCCUGGAUUCAGCGGCGGACGGGUGGGUAAUGCCUAGGAAUCUGCCUGGUAGUGGGGGAUAACGUCCGGAAAUAGGCGCUAAUACCGCAUACGUCCUGAGGGAGAAAGUGGGGGAUCUUCGGACCUCACGCUAUCAGAUGAGCCUAGGUCGGAUUAGCUAGUUGGUGGGGUAAAGGCCUACCAAGGCGACGAUCCGUAACUGGUCUGAGAGGAUGAUCAGUCACACUGGAACUGAGACACGGUCCAGACUCCUACGGGAGGCAGCAGUGGGGAAUAUUGGACAAUGGGCGAAAGCCUGAUCCAGCCAUGCCGCGUGUGUGAAGAAGGUCUUCGGAUUGUAAAGCACUUUAAGUUGGGAGGAAGGGCAGUAAGUUAAUACCUUGCUGUUUUGACGUUACCAACAGAAUAAGCACCGGCUAACUUCGUG
rnacentral:rRNA from 1 species